UAAGUGUCGUCUAAAUUUGGUGCCAGAAGACUCGGUAAGACCUUAGACACAAACGUUAAUCAUCAUAAUCAGGCGUAAAGGGUCUGUAGGCGGUUCAAAAGAACUAGAAUCUAAAAGAGGAUAAGCUAAACAACAUAAUUAAUUAGGACUGACAACUUAUAAUAAUGUGGAGUACUAAAGGUUAAAACUAUUUAUCUACUUAAGAUUGACGCUCAGAAACGAAGGGGAGAAUAAGAAACUUAGAUUAGAGACCUAAUUAUCUCUCUCAGUCAACGAUGAAUGGUAGUUAUUAAAUUAAAUUAAAAAUUAGUAACGAGGUUAACACGAUGACCAUUCCGCCUUGUUAGUAAGACUGCAAAGUUGAAAACAAAAAAAUUAGUCGGUCUUGAAGCAAACGAAGUGAAGCAUGUUAUUUAAUUCAUAAUCCGC
rnacentral:rRNA from 1 species